rnacentral:rRNA from 1 species
UUGGAGGGCAAGUCUGGUGCCAGCAGCCGCGGUAAUUCCAGCUCCAAUAGCGUAUAUUAAAGUUGUUGCAGUUAAAAAGCUCGUAGUUGAAUUUUGGAUUCUGCCAGUUGGUCCAUCUUUUGAUGAGUACUGAUUGUGUGGGGUCUAUCCGCCUGGUGAUACGUAAUGUACUUUAUUGUAUGUUACGGGUAGUCAGGACCUUUACCUUGAAAAAAUUAGAGUGUUUAAAGCAGGCUUAUGCCGGAAUACAUUAGCAUGGAAUAAUAGAAUAGGACGAUGUUGUUUUAUUUUGUUGGUUUCUAGGACAACCGUAAUGAUUAAUAGGGAUAGUUGGGGGCAUUAGUAUUCAAUUGUCAGAGGUGAAAUUCUUGGAUUUAUUGAAGACUAACUACUGCGAAAGCAUUUGCCAAGGAUGUUUUCAUUAAUCAGUGAACGAAAGUUAGGGGAUCGAAGACGAUCAGAUACCGUCGUAGUCUUAACCGUAAACUAUGCCGACUAGGGAUCGGGCGAUGUUCUUCUUUUUGACUCGCUCGGCACCCUAUGGGAAACCAAAG